GCUUAUAUUUCAACAACUUAAAAAUUUAGAAAAUUCAAUUGCGUCAUCUGCAGUACCAUCAGGUAAUGUGUUUUGCAUUCUUAUGCCGUUUUAAGAGUGGUAUGUGUGUUAAAACUUAAAGAUAGCAUAUCUUAAUUUACAGAUUACUUUAUUUAUUUAUUUUUUUGUCUCUACAUUAGCACCUCAAGCAAUAAUAUCAGGUAAUCUGCUUAGCAUACUUAUGCAGUUUUAUGGGUUUUAUGUGUAUUUAAACUUAAUCAUUACUGUUUUCAUGCAAUUACAUAAAUGUUUAACAUAUGUUACUUUAUACACUUUUUUUUUUACCUUUACAAUAGCACCAAUGUCAUCAUAUGCAGUAACAUCAGGUAAUGUGUUUUGCAUACUUAUUCAGUUUUAUGAGUGUUAUGUGUA